ACCUUAUUGAGAGUGACUGAGGGAAUAGGCCCGAUGAUGUCCGGCAACCGCCAUUAGCGUACGGUGCCAAAUCCUACAGACCUUCACCGGUCUGGUAGAUAAGGG
rnacentral:ncRNA from 2 species